CACGUAGGGCGCAAGCGUUGUCCGGAAUUAUUGGGCCUAAAGCAUCCGUAGCCGGUUUACAAGUCCUCCGUUAAAUCCAGCUGCUUAACAGAUGGGCUGCGGAGGAUACUAUAAGACUAGGAGGCAGGAGAGGCAAGCGGUACUCAGUGGGUAGGGGGUAAAAAUCCGUUGAUCCAUUGAAGACCACCAGUGGCGAAGGCGGCUGCCAGAACGCGCUCGACGGUGAGGGAUGAAAGCUGGGGGGAGCAAACCGG
rnacentral:rRNA from 1 species